rnacentral:rRNA from 1 species
AGUGAACGCUGGCGGUAGGCCUAACACAUGCAAGUCGAACGGCAGCACAGUAAGAGCUUGCUCUUACGGGUGGCGAGUGGCGGACGGGUGAGGAAUACAUCGGAAUCUACUUUUUCGUGGGGGAUAACGUAGGGAAACUUACGCUAAUACCGCAUACGACCUACGGGUGAAAGCAGGGGAUCUUCGGACCUUGCGCGAUUGAAUGAGCCGAUGUCGGAUUAGCUAGUUGGCGGGGUAAAGGCCCACCAAGGCGACGAUCCGUAGCUGGUCUGAGAGGAUGAUCAGCCACACUGGAACUGAGACACGGUCCAGACUCCUACGGGAGGCAGCAGUGGGGAAUAUUGGACAAUGGGCGCAAGCCUGAUCCAGCCAUACCGCGUGGGUGAAGAAGGCCUUCGGGUUGUAAAGCCCUUUUGUUGGGAAAGAAAAGCAGCAGGUUAUGACCCCGCUGUUCGGACGGUACCCAAAGAAUAAGCACCGGCUAACUUCGU